rnacentral:rRNA from 1 species
AUACGGCGGAUCCGAGCGUUAUCCGGAUUUAUUGGGUUUAAAGGGUGCGCAGGCGGCCAUUUAAGUCAGCGGUUAAAUCGUGGGGCUCAACCCCAUUCUGCCGUUGAUACUGGGUGGCUUGAUUGCGGUCGAGGCUGGCGGAAUUCGUUGUGUAGCGGUGAAAUGCAUAGAUAUGACGAAGAACACCGAUUGGGUAGGCAGCUGACCAGACCGCAAAUGACGCUCAUGCACGAAAGUGCGGGGAUCGAACAGGAUUAGAUACCCUGGUAGUCCGCACAGUAAACGAUGAAUACUUGUUUUCGGCGAUAUAAUGUCGGAGGCAAAGCGAAAGCGAUAAGUAUUCCACCGGGGGAGUACGCCGGCAACGGUGAAACUCAAAUGAAUUGACGGGGG